AGGGAAACUAUUCAGUGUCUCCUACUUGCUCCAAACAACAUUUCUCAUAAAAGUUUGUAGAAAAUCAAAAGGGGAGCGUCUUCCACAAGGAGGAGGGGCAGGGUUCUCUCUUGAGUGUGAAGCUGGCUUUGGUGUUGCCUCGCUGCAACUGCCGUUUGCCAGCGAUGAUUGUUUUUCUCUUCCUUUGGGAGAGUAAGAGGGAGAGGGCAUAGUCUAAGAAGU